rnacentral:sRNA from 1 species
AAGACGAUCCGGAACGUGCCGUUUUCUUUUCACAUAAUUCAGAUCAUUAACCUUGAAUAAUUGAGGGAUGACCUCAUUUAAUCUCCAGUAGCAAAUUUGACCUGUUUAUGGGAGGAGUUAUGCGUCUGGAUCGUCUUAC